rnacentral:rRNA from 1 species
ACCCCAAACCGACACAGGUGGUCAGGUAGAGAAUACCAAGGCGCUUGAGAGAACUCGGGUGAAGGAACUAGGCAAAAUGGUGCCGUAACUUCGGGAGAAGGCACGCUGGUGUGUAGGUGAAGUCCCUGCGGAUGGAGCUGAGACCAGUCGAAGAUACCAGCUGGCUGCAACUGUUUAUUAAAAACACAGCACUGUGCAAACACGAAAGUGGACGUAUACGGUGUGACGCCUGCCCGGUGCCGGAAGGUUAAUUGAUGGGGUUAUCCGUAAGGAGAAGCUCUUGAUCGAAGCCCCGGUAAACGGCGGCCGUAACUAUAACGGUCCUAAGGUAGCGAAAUUCCUUGUCGGGUAAGUUCCGACCUGCACGAAUGGCGUAAUGAUGGCCAGGCUGUCUCCACCCGAGACUCAGUGAAAUUGAACUCGCUGUGAAGAUGCAGUGUACCCGCGGCAAGACGGAAAGACCCCGUGAACCUUUACUAUAGCUUGACACUGAACAUUGAGCCUUGAUGUGUAGGAUAGGUGGGAGGCUUUGAAGCGUGGACGCCAGUCUGCGUGGAGCCAACCUUGAAAUACCACCCUUUAAUGUUUGAUGUUCUAACGUUGGCCCCUGACCGGGGUUGCGGACAGUGUCUGGUGGGUAGUUUGACUGGGGCGGUCUCCUCCCAAAGCGUAACGGAGGAGCACGAAGGUUAGCUAAUCCUGGUCGGACAUCAGGAGGUUAGUGCAAUGGCAUAAGCUAGCUUGACUGCGAGCGUGACGGCGCGAGCAGGUGCGAAAGCAGGUCAUAGUGAUCCGGUGGUUCUGAAUGGAAGGGCCAUCGCUCAACGGAUAAAAGGUACUCCGGGGAUAACAGGCUGAUACCGCCCAAGAGUUCAUAUCGACGGCGGUGUUUGGCACCUCGAUGUCGGCUCAUCACAUCCUGGGGCUGAAGUAGGUCCCAAGGGUAUGGCUGUUCGCCAUUUAAAGUGGUACGCGAGCUGGGUUUAGAACGUCGUGAGACAGUUCGGUCCCUAUCUGCCGUGGGCGCUGGAGAAUUGAGGGGGGCUGCUCCUAGUACGAGAGGACCGGAGUGGACGCAUCACUGGUGUUCGGGUUGUCAUGCCAAUGGCACUGCCCGGUAGCUAAAUGCGGAAGAGAUAAGUGCUGAAAGCAUCUAAGCACGAAACUUGCCCCGAGAUGAGUUCUCCCUGAGACUAUAAGUCUCCUGAAGGAACGUUAAAGACGAUGACGUUGAUAGGCCGGGUGUGUAAGCGCAGCGAUGCGUUGAGCUAACCGGUACUAAUGAACCGUGAGGCUUAACCUU